GAUGAACGCUGGCGGCGUGCCUAAUACAUGCAAGUCGAGCGAACGGAUGAGAAGCUUGCUUCUCUGAUGUUAGCGGCGGACGGGUGAGUAACACGUGGAUAACCUACCUAUAAGACUGGGAUAACUUCGGGAAACCGGAGCUAAUACCGGAUAAUAUUUUGAACCGCAUGGUUCAAAAGUGAAAGACGGUCUUGCUGUCACUUAUAGAUGGAUCCGCGCUGCAUUAGCUAGUUGGUAAGGUAACGGCUUACCAAGGCAACGAUGCAUAGCCGACCUGAGAGGGUGAUCGGCCACACUGGAACUGAGACACGGUCCAGACUCCUACGGGAGGCAGCAGUAGGGAAUCUUCCGCAAUGGGCGAAAGCCUGACGGAGCAACGCCGCGUGAGUGAUGAAGGUCUUCGGAUCGUAAAACUCUGUUAUUAGGGAAGAACAUAUGUGUAAGUAACUGUGCACAUCUUGACGGUACCCAAUCAGAAAGCCACGGCUAACUACGUG
rnacentral:rRNA from 1 species